rnacentral:rRNA from 1 species
GUGCUACACAUGCAGUCGACGGAAACAAAUUGAAGCUUGCUUUAGUUUGUUUUAGUGGCGGACGGGUGAGUAACGCGUGAGUAACCUGCCUUUCAGAGGGGGAUAACGUCUGGAAACGGACGCUAAUACCGCAUGAUAUUCCGAGAUCACAUGGUUUUGGAAUCAAAGGAGCAAUCCGCUGAAAGAUGGACUCGCGUCCGAUUAGCCAGUUGGCGGGGUAACGGCCCACCAAAGCGACGAUCGGUAGCCGGACUGAGAGGUUGAACGGCCACAUUGGGACUGAGACACGGCCCAGACUCCUACGGGAGGCAGCAGUGGGGGAUAUUGCACAAUGGAGGAAACUCUGAUGCAGCAACGUCGCGUGAGGGAAGAAGGUCUUCGGAUUGUAAACCCCUGUCCUCGGUGACGAUAAUGACGGUAGCCGAGGAGGAAGCUCCGGCUAACUACGUGCCAGCAGCCGCGGUAAUACGUAGGGAGCAAGCGUUGUCCGGAUUUACUGGGUGUAAAGGGUGCGUAGGCGGCUUUGCAAGUCAGGUGUGAAAACUAUCGGCUUAACUGAUAGACUGCAUUUGAAACUGUGGAGCUUGAGUGGAGCAGAGGCAGAUGGAAUUCCCGGUGUAGCGGUGAAAUGCGUAGAGAUCGGGAGGAACACCAGUGGCGAAGGCGAUCUGCUGGGCUUUAACUGACGCUGAGGCACGAAAGCAUGGGUAGCAAACAGGAUUAGAUACCCUGGUAGUCCAUGCCGUAAACGAUGAUUACUAGGUGUGGG